rnacentral:rRNA from 1 species
UACAGAGGGUGCGAGCGUUGUUCGGAAUUAUUGGGCGUAAAGGGUGCGUAGGCGGUGCCACAAGUCACUUGUGAAAUCCCCAGGCUCAACCUGGGGCCUGCAGGCGAAACUGUGGUGCUGGAGUAUGGGAGAGGUGCGUGGAAUUCCCAGUGUAGCGGUGAAAUGCGUAGAUAUCGGGAGGAACACCUGUGGCGAAAGCGGCGCAAUGGACCAUAACUGACGCUGAUGCACGAAAGCUAGGGGAGCAAACAGG